rnacentral:rRNA from 1 species
UACGUAGGGUGCAAGCGUUAAUCGGAAUUACUGGGCGUAAAGCGCGGACAGGCGGUCUUGCCAGUCUGAUGUGAAAUCUCCUCGCUCAACGGGGAGCAGCCAUUGGAAACUACAAGACUGGAGUCUGGCAGAGGUAGGCGGAAUUCCGGGUGGAGUGGUGAAAUGCGUAGAGAUCCGGAGGAACACCAGAGGCGAAGGCGGCCUACUGGGCCAGUACUGACGCUGAGCCGCGAAAGCCAGGGGAGCGAACGGG